GAUGAACGCUGGCGGUAUGCUUAACACAUGCAAGUCGAACGGUGUCUUCGGACACAGUGGCGGACGGGUGAGUAACGCGUGAGAAUCUGCCAUCAGGUCUGGGACAACCACUGGAAACGGUGGCUAAUACCGGAUGUGCCCUUCGGGGUGAAAGGUUAACUGCCUGUUGAUGAGCUCGCGUCUGAUUAGCUAGUUGGUGUGGUAAGAGCGCACCAAGGCGACGAUCAGUAGCUGGUCUGAGAGGACGAUCAGCCACACUGGGACUGAGACACGGCCCAGACUCCUACGGGAGGCAGCAGUGGGGAAUUUUCCGCAAUGGGCGAAAGCCUGACGGAGCAAUACCGCGUGAGGGAGGAAGGCUCUUGGGUCGUAAACCUCUUUUCUCAGGGAAGAACACAAUGACGGUACCUGAGGAAUAAGCAUCGGCUAACUCCGUGCCAGCAGCCGCGGUAAUACGGAGGAUGCAAGCGUUAUCCGGAAUGAUUGGGCGUAAAGCGUCCGCAGGUGGCUAUGUAAGUCUGCUGUUAAAGAGUCUAGCUCAACUAGAUAAGAGCAGUGGAAACUACAAGGCUAGAGUGCGUUCGGGGCAGAGGGAAUUCCUGGUGUAGCGGUGAAAUGCGUAGAGAUCAGGAAGAACACCAGUGGCGAAGGCGCUCUGCUAGGCCGCAACUGACACUGAGGGACGAAAGCUAGGGGAGCGAAUGGGAUUAGAUACCCCAGUAGUCCUAGCCGUAAACGAUGGAUACUAGGCGUGGCUUGUAUCGACCCGAGCCGUGCCGUAGCUAACGCGUUAAGUAUCCCGCCUGGGGAGUACGCCGGCAACGGUGAAACUCAAAGGAAUUGAC
rnacentral:rRNA from 1 species